rnacentral:rRNA from 1 species
UACGUAGGGUGCGAGCGUUGUCCGGAAUUACUGGGCGUAAAGAGCUCGUAGGUGGUUUGUCGCGUUGUUCGUGAAAACCGGGGGCUUAACCCUCGGCGUGCGGGCGAUACGGGCAGACUGGAGUACUGCAGGGGAGACUGGAAUUCCUGGUGUAGCGGUGGAAUGCGCAGAUAUCAGGAGGAACACCGGUGGCGAAGGCGGGACUCUGGGCCGAUACUGACGCUGAGGAGCGAAAGCGUGGGGAGCGAACAGG